rnacentral:rRNA from 1 species
UUAUCCGGAUGUAUUGGGUUAAAGGGAGCGUAGGCGGGUGCUUAAGUCAGUUGUGAAAGUUUGCGGCUCAACCGUAAAAUUGCAGUUGAUACUGGGCGCCUUGAGUGCAGCAUAGGUAGGCGGAAUUCGUGGUGUAGCGGUGAAAUGCUUAGAUAUCACGAAGAACUCCGAUUGCGAAGGCAGCUUACUGGACUGUAACUGACGCUGAUGCUCGAAAGUGUGGGUAUCAAACAGGAUUAGAUACCCUGGUAGUCCACACAGUAAACGAUGAAUACUCGCUGUUGGCGAUACACAGUCAGCGGCCAAGCGAAAGCAUUAAGUAUUCCACCUGGGGAGUACGCCGGCAACGGUGAAACUCAAAGGAAUUGACGGGGGCCCGCACAAGCGGAGGAACAUGUGGUUUAAUUC